ACUUUACUGGGAGCUAUCUAAGGUAAGACCGGUGACUGGGGCUAAGUCGUAACAAGGUAGCCGUACCGGAAGGUGCGGCUGGAAUACCUCCUUU
rnacentral:rRNA from 1 species